rnacentral:rRNA from 1 species
UACGUAGGGCGCAAGCGUUGUCCGGAAUUAUUGGGCGUAAAGAGCUCGUAGGCGGUUUGUCGCGUCUGCUGUGAAAACCUGAGGCUCAACCUCGGGCUUGCAGUGGGUACGGGCAGACUAGAGUACUGCAGGGGAGACUGGAAUUCCUGGUGUAGCGGUGGAAUGCGCAGAUAUCAGGAGGAACACCCGUGGCGAAGGCGGCUCUCUGGGACGGUACUGACGCUGAGACGCGAAAGCGUGGGGAGCGAACAGG